rnacentral:lncRNA from 1 species
AAGUUAGUCUUCUGUUUCCAGUACCUAAUUAGCAAUUGCAUCAACCAGGCAUAAUUUAUUCUAAUCCAUCCAUCAAACCAUAUUCUAGGGACUAUCAGAAAGUUACCUUUUGAGGCAAAAGCUUCAGCUCAAAGAUGACGAAUUUUGUCCUGAAUCUUGGCUAACUCCUCUCCUUUCUUUUCUCCCCCAUAGUCUUCUCUCUCCCUGGCUAUUUCCCCUAGAUGUGUAAUAACAGAGGAGUAGCAGCAACCACACAUGGUACAUGUGGUUAGCAAACUCAAAAUUCACACAGAGGAGUAGCAGCAGCAGCUCACCUCUCAAGGCCCCUCUCUCUGCUACAUCGCAUCUGCGAUCCACUUCUAUAAAUGUGGGUAGACAACAUCACCUAAUCUUGCAUAAUCUAAACCAAGACAACGCAUCAAAGAAGACCAGGUUAGAAUCAAAGGAGGGAGACAGGAGGGAAGAUAGCACCAUGGUCCAUGGGAACCAAAAUCAAGCACGGGAGGGAAGAUACCACCAGGGGUGAGAUUGUGGAAGUCGAGUGAGAUGAGGCUGCUCGCUGGACUCGACCACCACCCCAAACCCUAUCU